CCCCCGGCCAAGAGAGGGAGAAAGAGAAGCACAGCAGAUGGUAGGAGAGAGCUGCGGCCGGCGAAGACCAAAGCCCUGUCCUGUCUGAGAGAGCAGGACAGUGAUGAAGAGAACAUCUUCAUCGUCCCUCCUCCUCCUCCUCCCCAGCAGCAGAGCAACAACACAGCCAGGAAGCCAUUCUUGAGGCGUGCUGGUCGGAAGGCCCAGCGUAUUGUGAGCUCCAGUGAGAGUGAUGUAGAGACAACGACCACCAGACAACCCAACCCGAAACGCUGCAAACACACCACAGCUAGAGACAGGACACACACACAGUCAGACUUUUAUAUGUUUAAUUCAUUUAACCUUUAUUU